UCUUAGGAUGCCUGCGUGUGAACAAACUCAGCUCUUUGCUCUGAUGGUCCUGCACGGGGGCUCCCACAGUUCUGUGGACAGCAGCUGCGAGCAGAGGUACCUACUGUCAAGACCAUUUUACAGGGCAGCCAGAUUCCAAGCCACCGGGCAAAGGCUGAACCC
rnacentral:lncRNA from 1 species